CCAGCCUGCCGCGUGUGUGAAGAAGGCCUUUUGGUUGUAAAGCACUUUAAGCAGUGAAGAAGACUCCGUGGUUAAUACCCACGGACGAUGACAUUAGCUGCAGAAUAAGCACCGGCUAACUCUGUGCCAGCAGCCGCGGUAAUACAGAGGGUGCAAGCGUUAAUCGGAAUUACUGGGCGUAAAGCGAGCGUAGGUGGCUUGAUAAGUCAGAUGUGAAAUCCCCGGGCUUAACCUGGGAACUGCAUCUGAUACUGUUAGGCUAGAGUAGGUGAGAGGAAGGUAGAAUUCCAGGUGUAGCGGUGAAAUGCGUAGAGAUCUGGAGGAAUACCGAUGGCGAAGGCAGCCUUCUGGCAUCAUACUGACACUGAGGCUCGAAAGCGUGGGUAGCAAACAGGAUUAGAUACCCUGGUAGUCCACGCCGUAAACGAUGUCUACUAGUCGUUGGGUCCCUUGAGGACUUAGUGACGCAGCUAACGCAAUAAGUAGACCGCCUGGGGAGUACGGCCGCAAGGUUAAAACUCAAAUGAAUUGACGGGGGCCCGCACAAGCGGUGGAGCAUGUGGUUUAAUUCGAUGCAACGCGAAGAACCUUACCUGGUCUUGACAUAUCUAGAAUCCUGCAGAGAUGCCGGGAGUGCCUUCGGGAAUUAGAAUACAGGUGCUGCAUGGCUGUCCGUCAGCUCGUGUCGUGAGAUGUUUGGGUUAAGUCCCGCAACGAGCGCAACCCUUUUUCUUAGUACCAGCGGGUUAUGCCGGGAACUCUAAGGUUCUGCCAGUGACAAACUGGAGGAAGCGGGGACACGUCAAGUCAUUAUGGCCCUUACGAACCAGGGSUACACACGUGCUACAAUGGUAGGUACAGAGGCCGCUUCCCA
rnacentral:rRNA from 1 species